CGAGAGGACAGAGUCACAGAGACCGAGUUAUUGAAGAGUUUGAAGGAGGAGAGCAUGAUCAACGGUGUCAAACGCAGCAGAGAGGUCAAGGAGAAUUAAAAUGGAGUAGUGACCUUUGGAUUUAGAGGAGAUUAGGUCAUUAGUAACUGUCAGGAUCAUAUCCUGACAACAAUGUUUUAAUCUUCAUUUAUUUCUGUUCCUUUAAAAGAAGUUCCAGCUC